AUGAUGUAUAGUGUUGUAGGUGCAUACCUAAGCAGAACCUUCGGUGAUGGUGCUGUAGAUGGCGACCUCAUCGAAAUCAAUGUGCACCUACAAAAUGCCGACCAGCAAACCAGUGAUCCGGUAACAAUAGCGGAUAAUGGAGUGGAUGAGCAGAGUCAUGAGUCCAGAGCAGCGCCUAGGAGGAGAGAGCGAGCUUGCAAGGGUGGUAUGGUGGCAAAGAAGCGUCAACAGAAAAUUGGCAAGCAAAAAAAAUGUACGCAGGUACCGCAUGGUGAGAGGAAUGUUCUACGCGAUCGGCGUAAUGAAAGGUUUGCAGGUAGGGUGAUGACCCCAACCGUCGGGUCCAUCUCCAUACCGAAAAUGAGCUCAACUGGACAACCUACCAUAGUGGAAGCACACGGUGCCUUGACCUCAUCUAGCACGCCGGAGUACACGAUCAGAAGUAAAGGUAACACUCCCAUCCUUACUCUCCUUGCGUCCCUUGAGACUGAACCCUCAUUUAUUGGUUUCGCACCUGAGCAGACGACAUGGACACUUACCUUAGUCGUCUCAUGA
rnacentral:rRNA from 1 species